UGCCGACAGGCGGUAGAGUCCGGGUGAGGACCUGAACCAGUACCACCUCGGGUACCUCCAUAUCUCUUUCGAGAUGCUUCCUCAGUCUUCUUCCCAUUUAAUUUUCACCAUAUUUCUCAGAAGUAAGGAAGUCAGAGUGUCUAUUUUACAGUUGAUCACUCCAGGCUGGACAGACAGCUCUGCUUCACACCAUCUUUCAGUGCAGCCUGGACAAAACGCAUGGAGCAGCUCCUUGAGGACCUUGAAAAGAAAACAGUAAUAGGCAUAUUGGGGAAGAAGGUAAGAAGAGUUUGAAGCACCAAUGAAAAUAGUGGCCAAAAUCCGCAACAUUUUGGUUCCCUGACCGGGAAACCCAACUGAACUGACCCUUUGAAGCCACUGGUUUGGGCACAACGCCGAGACACUGGUCAGCCGAGGCAACUGAGGAACUAGAAGGUGCGGUCUUGGGCCCGGCUGCACUCGGCCAGCCCUGCUCCAUUGUUUCCCCCGGAAACUGAGUGGUGAAAACAAGGAAAUUCGGCAGAUCCACAUCGGACACGGUAAGGCCGCGCCGCCCACGGUAGACAGGCCUACCUUAAGGGUGGAAGGGGAGACUGAUCACGUCCCAGGGGCAAGCGCCCCUCAGGCAGGGACCACCAGGGAGGGAAUGUUUUAACCUCUGAGAGCAUGUGUGUCUUUGUGGAUCUCAGAGACCUGUCUCUGAGUUUCCAGACUGUGGCCCCACGGUGAAAAAUUACGGGGUCUGAAAGGGCCCCAACCUGCGGUUCUGUAGCGAUGUCAUAAGGCAUAAUGGUGAUUCGUCCCUCUGGGGAACGACCAGGCCCAGGGUUUAUACGGAUACACCUUAGCCAAGACGCGUGGAAAAUCUCGAGAGAGACAUGGCCAUGUGGGCAUCUGAGUGGUCUCUAAAAAGGGACACCCCCACCCUUUGUUUUUACGGUACCAACACAGUGGGAAACAUGGGGUCAGGUCAGAGUGAGACAACAGUCCUUGAGACUAUGUUAAAGAAUUUCAAGAAAGGUAUUUACCUCAGAGGUGGUUAUUACUGAACAGGUGAAAAGAGGCAAACUGAAGGAAUAAAGAAAGUGAAAGAAGGUUUGCGGAAGUAGUAGAAGGUCUGUGAAGGGAAAUCGAGAGGAAAUUUUGUGAAGGGAAAGUGUAGAAGGUUUGUGAAGAAAUUCUGAAAGGGAAUUUUAUGUAAUAAAGUGAAACAAGGUUGGAAAUUUAAACGCCGAGAGCAAGCUGAUGCAAAAAAAACCCCAAAAAACUAGAAUUGUUUUUAACGCUCUUUAGACUAUUGGUGUGAUGCAAAUGUUUUGAAAAGGUCCUCUGGGAAGAAAACUAGGAUUCUGUAUUUAUUCAAAAUAAUUUUAGUGUUUUGCGCUGCUUUAACUAGGUUUCUAGGACUUUAGAGAAUAUAUUAACACUGGCCUCUGUGCCUACUUCUCAAAGGAAGCUCCCUGAAAAUAUGGGGGGAGUUCCACUAAGCCAACUGUCUUAGAUUGUAUGUUGGAAAAUUUUAAGGAGGGUUUCUCUGAGGAGUAUAGGGUCAUGCUGACCUUAGAAAAACUUCGUAUUCUUUGUGAGCUUGAAUGGCCUGCUUUAGGGGUAGGUUGGCCUUCAGAAGAGACCUUAGACCUCCCCACAGUGAGAGCAGUGUAUCGGGUAGUGACAGGGACCCCAGGAUAUCUAGACCAAGUUCCGUAUAUAGACACAUGGCUGCAGACUGCUACUAUAGUGCUCCCUUGGGUCCAGUUUGGCACAAAUAGCCAGGGACAGAAUAGGGCAUUUGUGGCCCGCCUGGCUAAGCGAAAGGACAAGGAGGUUCCAACAAAAUUAAUUCACCCAGGGGCCCUAGGGAAGAUUCUAUCUAAUGACCACUGUACAUCCCAGUAGCUCUCUCAGUCCCCACGAGGCCAAUUUAGUAUCAAUUGCCAGACAGACCUCUACAUCAGUGCCUUUGCUGCCCCCUACUGCCCCAGAGCCCUGGCCCAACACCAUGCCUACCAUCUCGUUCAAGUUCGACUUGAUAAUAGAAAAGCCCGAAGAACAGUGGUGGAGUACCCAGAAACAAGAUGGCCAGGUUAGAAUGAUUCCUGACCCUUUUGUUAGAAAGCUCGUGUAGUGUUUUCCACUACAGGGAAAACAUCGUGAAAAGUCUAAAUUAGAGGUAAAGGCUGGGGCUAGGAAGUCAACAAGUGUGUCGAAAACAGCAGAGCUACACCAGGAGGUAACUGACAAACAGGGAAAGCAGAAGGUGUCCCUGUUGGCAACUGCAUUAGGGAACCCAGGUUUAGUGCAACAGACGGCUGCUCCCACAUGGCAGAAAGAAACCCAAAGGAAAUUACACCGUAACCAAUGUGCCUUCUGUAGAGACAUCGGCCGUUGGAAGAACAAGUGCCCUCAUCGCAGGGAAACUGUCAGUCCAAAAAGGCCAGAGAAUUUAAGACAUCAUCAACCUGAGCCAGUUGUCAAAGAAGACUGGGCCAAAGGAUAAUCAGACUAGGAAUAGUUGCAGCAUAAGUAGGAGGGCCAAUCAAUGAUUUGUAUAGUGGACACUCAACACCGUAGCCAUGAUCAAACAUCAAAAAGGAGUCAGUAAGAUUUGCAGGGCAGCUGAAUUCUGUCAGUUCUGAGUGCUAAGUUUAAAUGUAAAGGUUCCCCAUACCGUAAUUCCAUUAAUGAAUAAUCGAGAACAUAAGCAGCUGACCAAUGCCAGAGUAACUUAUUAUCAGGGACUGCUGUGCAAAAACCAUGAGUCCGUCUCAAAACUGUAACUACAUUAAACCCUGCAGACUGCCUUGGUGCCAGAGGUCUUUAAGGUGUCCAGUAACUGGGACUGGGCAGAGAAGGAAGCAAAGUACAAAAGAGCGCCAAUUUUAGCUGCCAUAAUACAGGGACCAUCUUGAGGUGACCUUAGGCAGUAAAAACCUUGCAGGCCUGGAGGGCCUCGAUUGUGGUUGGCCACAAGUGGCAUUGCUGGGACUGAGACAUAAUCAAUGUGCAAACUGCAAAAGAAAGGGCACUGAAAGGGCAAGUGUCCACCCAGUCCUGGGAAGCCGGGGAGUGGUGGACCUCAUAAGCGCUUGCCCUACAUAGCAAGUCUCUCACGAAGGGGUUGCUCUCUUCUCCAACAACGGAGGCCCAAGCACUUGCAAGCUCCAGUCCUAGAAAAAUCUGCCAGGAUCACAACAGUAGAACCUCAGAUCCCCUUUGACUUGGCAAAAAGAAAAAACUGAAUUUUUACUAGAUACUAGAGCUGCCUACUCUGUCCUGACCCUUCCCAUAGGUCUCUCUCUCCAAUGCUAACUGUACAAUGACAGGAAUAAACAGUCAGUCUAACGUAAAUUUCCUUUCCCAUUGUGAGACCAGGAUUAGCAAUGAAGUUCUCUGCCACACAUUAGGACCAGGGUCCUGUGCAGAAAGUGCCUUGUCUGAGAAACUAGGACACAGCCUAAAAGGCGAUCAGUCCCCUUGCCCACCACAUAAUGCACGUUUGUAGGGAACCUAAGGCUAAACUAUUCGCAGACAACCCACCUCUAUGUCAGGGUUUCCUACUAGCUGGCCAACUACCUCCCAGCAAUCUGUUAAAAGCCAGCCUUUGAGGCAAACAGAAAGGGCCCCACCCAAAUCUUAGGAAGGAUAAGGCCUAUGCUUUCUUUAAAGUGUCUACUAUAAUACCAGCAAAAAAUGUGUAACAUUUACUAAGUGUGCUAACUAAUGUUUUAACAUCUCAGAUAAUAUGACAUUGAACUACAGCUCCACUACUUCUGUAAGUUAUGCAAAUUACUCACUAGAUAGUUUCUUAUUAAUGAAAGAACUAUUUAUUAUGUUAAAACCAAAGCCAAGGGAAGAAUUUUCUUACAGCAACAAAGCAAUCAACUUCAUCUGAAGCUAGUCUCAGAUACGAGACCUAUCAAAAGAGGGAGGAAAUGAAAUGGGACAUCUCUUGCAGAGUUAAUCUGUUUAGUAAAGGUAGUUAAGUUUUCUUCUCUCCUUUCUUUAUAGGAAAAAAGCCCUCUCCCUCAAAUCCUGAUAAUUGCCCAAAACUGGUAACUCAGAUCCUCUGGCUAUUGAUAAGGGUCAUCAGCCCAUGGUUAAGCAGAAAUGGUGUUCUGACAGGCAGGGCCCUUGAAGUCUGAGUGGGAGGGGGCUUUAGGCCAAAGGUCUUUUUACUCUU